AGGACGAACGCUGGCGGCGUGCUUAACACAUGCAAGUCGAGCGGAAAGGCCCUUCGGGGUACUCGAGCGGCGAACGGGUGAGUAACACGUGAGUAAUCUGCCCCUAGCUCUGGGAUAGCUCCGGGAAACCGGGAUUAAUACCGGAUACGACCACUACGGACAUCUGUGGUGGUGGAAAGAACUUCGGCUAGGGAUGAGCUCGCGGCCUAUCAGCUUGUUGGUGGGUAACGCCUACCAAGGCGACGACGGGUA
rnacentral:rRNA from 1 species